rnacentral:rRNA from 1 species
AAUUGAUCUGGUUCAGAUUGAACGCUGGCGGCAGGCCUAACACAUGCAAGUCGAACGGUAACAGGAAACAGCUGCUGUUCGACUGACGAGUGGCGGACGGGUGAGUAAUGUCUGGGAAACUGCCUGAUGGAGGGGGAUAACUACUGGAAACGGUAGCUAAUACCGCAUAACGUCGCAAGACCAAAGAGGGGGACCUUCGGGCCUCUUGCCAUCGGAUGUGCCCAGAUGGGAUUAGCUAGUAGGUGGGGUAACGGCUCACCUAGGCGACGAUCCCUAGCUGGUCUGAGAGGAUGACCAGCCACACUGGAACUGAGACACGGUCCAGACUCCUACGGGAGGCAGCAGUGGGGAAUAUUGCACAAUGGGCGCAAGCCUGAUGCAGCCAUGCCGCGUGUAUGAAGAAGGCCUUCGGGUUGUAAAGUACUUUCAGCGGGGAGGAAGGGAGUAAAGUUAAUACCUUUGCUCAUUGACGUUACCCGCAGAAGAAACACCGGCUAACUCCGUGCCAGCCGCCGC